rnacentral:rRNA from 1 species
GACGAACGCUGGCGGCGUGCCUAAUACAUGCAAGUAGAACGCUGAAGAGAGGAGCUUGCUCUUCUUGGAUGAGUUGCGAACGGGUGAGUAACGCGUAGGUAACCUGCCUUGUAGCGGGGGAUAACUAUUGGAAACGAUAGCUAAUACCGCAUAACAAUGGAUGACCCAUGGCAUUUAUUUGAAAGGGGCAAAUGCUCCACUACAAGGUGGACCUGCGUUGUAUUAGCUAGUAGGUGAGGUAACGGGUCACCUAGGCGACGAUCCGUAGCCGACCUGAGAGGGUGCUCGGCCACACUGGGACGGGGACACGGCCCAGAACCCUACGGGAGGGAGCCGGAGGGAAUUUUCGGCAAAGGGGGCAACCCUGAACGAGCAACGCCGCGUGAGGGAAGGAGGUUGUCGGAUCGUAAAGCUCUGUUGUAAGUCAAGAACGAGUGUGAGAGUGGAAAGUUCACACUGUGACGGUAGCUUAACAGAAAGCGACGGCUAACUACGUG